AGCGAACGCUGGCGGCAGGCCUAACACAUGCAAGUCGAACGAAGUCUUCGGACUUAGUGGCGGACGGGUGAGUAACACGUGGGAACGUACCUUUUGGUUCGGAACAACUCAGGGAAACUUGAGCUAAUACCGGAUGAGCCCUUAGGGGGAAAGAUUUAUCGCCGAAAGAGCGGCCCGCGUUAGAUUAGCUAGUUGGUGAGUUAAAGGCUCACCAAGGCUACGAUCUAUAGCUGGUCUGAGAGGAUGAUCAGCCACACUGGGACUGAGACACGGCCCAGACUCCUACGGGAGGCAGCAGUGGGGAAUCUUGCGCAAUGGGCGAAAGCCUGACGCAGCCAUGCCACGUGAAUGAUGAAGGUCUUAGGAUUGUAAAAUUCUUUUACCAGGGACGAUAAUGACGGUACCUGGAGAAAAAGCCCCGGCUAACUUCGUGCCAGCCGCCGCGGUAAUAC
rnacentral:rRNA from 1 species